UCUUCAUAUAAAGCGUUCUAGUUGGAAAGUUUACAGAUAUUUUAUCGUUGACCACACAAUACAGCUGGAGCACGCACAACAGCUGGGUGCUGGGUAAACAAAUACACGGACGAAACGCUGUGCAAAAUAUUGUUUCGAUUUAGAUCAACUUAACACUAUAAUUGAAUUUUCUCACAAAACCUAUAAUGAUAUUUUUUGAGGCUGACUGACUAAAGAUGGAGUCACCUUUCUUUUGCCUUGGUUUGUUGUGGAUUUCUGCACCUCUGGUGUAUUGUGUUGCUUGAUUUUUGGUGGACGGCCUUGUGGAACUUGAGCAGCACCUUUCGAAACACCCUCUCGUCUUCUUGCUCGCCCACUUGACUGAAUGGGAAUUCGUCCACUUCGUGAGCAGACAGAACCAAUCUGCCGAUAGAUGGCAACAAUGGAAGCUGUGGCAGCAGGUGCACUCUUCGGUUUGUUCAAAGCCUUACUUAACUUUCUUAGCAAUUCGUUUGAUGCAUCAGUUUUGGCCAACUCGAUCAAGCUGGCAAAUGCAUCUUUGCACUCAUUCACCAAAUCUUCUUUCUCAGCCUCAUCAAAAGGAUCAAGGUCUUGUUCUUCACUAUGAAUUUCGCAUGCGUGAAGCUCUUCGUCAAAUUCCACUUGUGCAUCCGACACAAAAUGAGCAACUAUUUUGGAUCAACUUCUGUUCGGCCUAAAAAGAAUUUCAAGUCAGGGCAUUUGCUGCCGAGGGCCAAGCGAGCAAGUUCGAGUCGAUCGCCACUAAGAAGUGGAGGAGCCGAGGGAGAUGUUGAAGUAUUUAACAAGCAGAGAUUGGUGUUUGCAGAAUGCACCACCCUCACCAACUGGACAGGAGCACACACCAAUCUUUGAAUGGACUUCAUAAAAGGUGCCUGAAUAUGUUUAAAUUAUUAAAAAUUUAAUUAUGUAAUUGUUACCAAAUUCAUAAAUGGUUUCUUAUGUA